AUUCAUGUCACUCAGCUUCCUAGUGAAAUGAAGGGCGAGAGAGAAAGGUUGGAAGUGAAGGGAAUUGGAAAGGAAUUGAAGAUAGUAAAAGGGUAAAAAUGGUAGAUCAGAGAAAGUUCAAGAGAAUUCUAAAGCAAGCAGAAGAAGAAA